GGCGAUGCGGGAUGAACCGAACGCGCGGUUAAGGUGCCAAAGUCGACGCUCAUCAGACCCCACAAAAGGUGUUGGUUGCUCUAGACAGCAGGACGGUGGCCAUGGAAGUUGGAAUCCGCUAAGGAGUGUGUAACAACUCACCUGCCGAAGCAACUAGCCCUGAAAAUGGAUGGCGCUCAAGCGUCGCACCUAUAACGUGCCGUCGGAGCAGAUGCGAAGCUCCGACGAGUAGGAGGGCGUGGGGGUCGUGACGCAGCCUCUGGCGCGAGCCUGGGUGAAACGGCCUCCAGUGCAGAUCUUGGUGGUAGUAGCAAAUAUUCAAAUGAGAGCUUUGAAGACCGAAGUGGAGAAAGGUUCCAUGUGAACAGCAGUUGGACAUGGGUUAGUCGAUCCUAAGAGAUAGGGAAAUUCCGUUUGCAAGCGCCCGAUCUUGGGCCGCCUAUCGAAAGGGAAUCGGGUUAAUAUUCCCGAACCGGGACGCGGAUAUUGCCGUUCUCGGCAAAUGCGGUAACGCAAACGAACCCGAAGACGCUAGCGGGGGCCCUGGGAAGAGUUCUCUUUUCUUUUUAACGAGCUUUCACCCUGAAAUCAGCUUGCCUGGAGAUAGGGUUUAAUGCUCGGUAAAGCACCACACUUCUUGUGGUGUCCGGUGCGCUCUCGACGGCCCUUGAAAAUUCGGGGAAGACAUUGAUUUUCGUGUCCGGUCGUACUCAUAACCGCAGCAGGUCUCCAAGGUGAGCAGCCUCUGGUUGAUAGAACAAUGUAGGUAAGGGAAGUCGGCAAAAUAGAUCCGUAACUUUGGGAAAAGGAUUGGCUCUAAGGAUUGGGUCUGUCGGGCUGAGACUUGAAGCCAGUGGACCCGGCCCGGGCUGGCCGAGGCCCAUCCGGGUCGAAGCUGGACCGGGAAGGGGCUGUUGGUGGAUUGGCCCAGCU
rnacentral:ncRNA from 1 species